rnacentral:piRNA from 2 species
UUCAGUUUGAAUCUAAGGAGCCUCUUA